GCAUGCGUGGUGUAGCGGUAACAUUGGGUCUUCCCAUGGCCUAGCUCCGGGUUCGACUCCCGGCGCAUGCA